AUCAUAUUUGUAUAAGAAUUUCAAGUGUGGUGUGUCUCCCGAGUAUUGUAUUUUCUAAGAGUGAUGGAUGUACAAUCGGGAGCUGUGAAAAAGUUAAAAUGCAGAGUAUCAGUUUUCUUUUAAAAUAGAUUGGUAUACGAAGUUUCCCACAUUACAGAAACGCGAAUGACGUAAUCGCAUGACGUUGUCGAUUUACGCUAAAAGUGAGACGGAUCGCGGAUCGUAAUACUGGUUUUCGCGCUUUUUAACGUUUAUUGUUUAUUUUGUUUAUAUUUUUCAAAUGUCGCGUAUUUCUCGAAUAUUAUGUUUCUUUGGCCGCUGGGAGCAGUGGAUGUGUGCAAGUCUUGGAAGCUGCGCGAAAGAUGGAAUAUAAAGCAGCAGGAAGCAGCAAAUGUCGUACGUUUCUCGAGUGUUGUGUUUUUCCGGCCGUUGCGAGCAAUGGAUGUGUGCAGUCGUUGAAGCUGUGGAAAAGAUGGAAUGUAGCAGCAAGCAGAAAGAUCAGUUGUGGCUGGUAAAGUCAAUAAUUCCCAUCAUCCGGAAGAAGCUGCUCUCGGUUAGUCCGAUCUCUUUAACAUGACGCUCUAUCGAAAUGAUCGAGAGGGUUGGUCCACGUCCGAUAGAAGCCACGUUUCAACACAUACACACACAUAUGACGAGGGAGAUUGAGAGAAAGAGAGAGAGAGAGAGAGAGAACGAAUGACAGAGAUCUGUCAGGAGAGCAUAAAUCAAUGAGUUGCUCCUGGAUUGCCCUGGGAGAGAGCGUGUUGCGUUUCCACGGACAGAUAGAGCCGAUGUGCUUUAUUAUGCCGGACACAAUUGCGUGUUGCCUAAGCCACGUGACCGGCAACUUCCGGCCGACGUUUGGGUUCCGCUUCGUGAUGUCCUCGCGCGCGAGCGCGCGAUUUCCCCUGGUCGCUUCACCGCCGGUUUGCCAUCUCCCUUCCCUCCAACCCCCGGUCGGUUCUGGUUCUUUUGCUCUCGACGAUGGGUGACGAUGAUCAUCGCGUGUCGGGUCCACGACAAUGUGACGUGUCGUGACGCUUAUAAGCCUCAACUGUGUGAAACUUACGGUUCAAUGAAACAUAUAAUAUAUAUAUAUAUACGGUUGAAUACAGAGAGAUGAGCCAAGAGAUAUCAAUACGGGGAAAACCGAGCGCUGAUCACUAAUUGGAAUAUCGGAUCCUCAAACAUAUUAUCGUCUUCGAACGUAAAAUUCCCACGCUUACUUCGCGACUAUUGUCCGUAAUUCGCACAAUGGUUCUGCGAGCCUUUUCAACGCGCACGGACGUACGCGAGCGUACGUAGGCGAGCAAAAAAGAAAUUUCGCGUAAUAAAGAGAUCCGAGGGAGUAUGGUGCACCGAAUCGAUUCGUCACGGUGUUCUCAUGUUAAUACCGCGACGGUUCUGCUUCGGUUUUCCAUCGGCGCAGCAUGUCGGGGGAGCCACUACGGGUCGCCAGCACCGGCGUGGCGAAUUCCCCGAGUUUAUCGUCGGGGUGUGUAGCCACUGUGACCACACUAAAACCGAUGUCUGGGCCCCGGGAGGACGGGAACGAAGAUGCGCGCAGGAGACGCGCGAGGGAGACAAAACUUUCCGGCUUUCUCUCUCUCUCUCUCUCUCUCUCUCUCUCUCUCUCUCUCUCUCUCUCUCUUUUGCGGACGUCAUGGGAAUCGUAAAACAUGUUGGAUAAAAACGACUACGCGAAUAUAUCCGCAAUAGUGUCCGUUUUAUCCUAUCCAACUGUGUAUUUCGUGUAGGCGUUUUUCCUCAUUUUUCCUGGAGUGUGGAUCUACACAACGCGGAGAGCAUCGGAAAUAUUAUCUCAUAUGUCACUGGAGAUAAGUGCACUGCUACGUCCGGCCGCAAAUAUUUUGAAAAACAGUAUAGGUAACAUUCGCGCAACAGAAACGAUAACUAUCCGAAAUGACCAAGUAUAUUCGCAAGCCUAAUUCGGCGCAUAAUUAUAAUUAAAUACGAAUUACAUUAAUUACGGUUAUUAUCGGAAUUAUCAGGUGCCGAUUAUAUAUUAUCGCAAGAAUAAAAUAUUCGAUGAUUAUUACUCCAUCGACGCGAUCAAAUUAAAAAUCACACGACAUAUUACUAAUUACAGCAGAAUGAUUUUUCUUAUGCACAUCUUUACGAAGGUAGCUAUCCUACUGCAGGUGUAAUGCUUACGCUCAUUUCGCUUCAUACGCUUUAUAUACCAAAGAAACCUAUCGAAUAUUCAGUUUAUAAAAAUAUGUAUACUCCAAUUGCAGUUCUUUAAUACACUAAGAAAUCUAUAAAUUAUAAAUGACGCAAAACAUCAUCUGAUACAUAAUGCGACUGCAUUUUAUGCGAUAUUUUUUUUUGAGAUAUUCUCUAUAUGAAAAUAGUAUCGCUCUGUUUACAUUGUAUCAAUAACAUCAAACCGUUG